UCCCUGGUAGUCCAGUGGCUAGGACUCCGUGCUCCCAAUACAGGGGGCCUGGGUUCAAUCCUUAGUCAGGGAA
rfam:TPA: Bos taurus chromosome X, whole genome shotgun sequence.